rnacentral:rRNA from 1 species
UACGUAGGGUGCGAGCGUUAAUCGGAAUAACUGGGCGUAAAGGGUGCGCAGGCGGUUAUUUAAGUUAGAAGUGAAAGUCCCGGGCUCAACCUGGGGAGGUCUUUUAAUACUGGAUAUCUAGAGUUAGUCAGAGGGGGGUGGAAUUCCAAGUGUAGCAGUGAAAUGCGUAGAUAUCGAAAAGAAGACCAGUGGCGAAGGCUGGGUCCUGGGUAGCAACUGACACUGAGGCACGAAGGCCAGGGGAGCAAACGGG